GAAGAAACCGAGAGAGAGGAGGAAACCGAGAGAGAGGAAGAAACCGAGAGAGAGAAGAAACCGAGAGAGAGAAGAAACCGAGAGGAGGAAACCGAGAGGAGGAAACCGAGAGAGAGGAGGAAACCGAGAGAGGAAGAAACCGAGAGAGAGGAAGUAACCGAGAGAGAGGAAGUAACAGAGAGAGGAAGAAACCGAAAGAGGAAGAAACCGAGAGAGAGGAAGAAACCGAGAGAGAGGAGGAAACCGAGAGAGAGGAGGAACCCGAGAGAGAGGAGGAAACCGAGAGAGAGGAGGAAACCGAGAGAGAGGAGGAAACCGAGAGAGAGGAGGGAACCCGAGAGAGAGGAAGAAACCCGAGAGAGAGGAAGAAACCGAGAGAGAGGAGGAAACCCGAGAGAGAGGAAGAAACAGAGAGGAGGAAACCGAGAGAGAGGAGGAAACCGAGAGAGAGGAGGAAACCGAGAGAGAGGAGGAAACCGAGAGAGAGGAGGAAACAGAGAGAGAGGAGGAAACAGAGGGAGAGGAGGAAACAGAGAGAGAGGAAGAGACCGAGAGAGGGGAAGAAACUGAGAGAGAAGGAAACCGAGGGAGAGGAAGAAACUGAGGGAGGAGAAAACCGAAGGAGAGGAAGAAACUGAGAGAGGAGGAAACCGAGAGAGAGGAGGAAACCGAGAGAGGAAGAAACAGAGGGAGGAAGAAACCGAGAGAGAGGGGGAAACCGAGAGAGAGGAGGAAACCGAGAGAAGGAAACCGAGAGAGAGGAGGAAACCGAGAGAAGGAAACCGAGAGAGAGGAGGAAACCGAGAGAGGAGGGAACCGAGAGAGAGGAGGAAACCGAGAGAGAGGAGGAAACCGAGAGAGAGGAAGAAACCGAGAGAGAGGAAAAUACCGAGAGAGGAAGAAACCGAGAGAGAGGAAAAAACUGAGAGAGGAAGUAACCGAGAGAGGAAGAAACCGAGAGAGAGGAAGAAACCGAGAGAGAGGCAGAAACCGAGAGAGAGGCAGAAACCGAGAGAGAGGAAGGAACCGAGAGAGAGGAAGAAACCAGAGAGAGGAAGGAACCGAGAGAGAGGAAGAAACCAGAGAGAGGAAGGAACCGAGAGAGAGGAAGAAACCGAGAGAGAGGAGGUAACCGAGAGAGAGGAGGAAACCGAGAGAGAGGAAGAAACUGAGAGAGAGGAAGAAACCGAGAGAGGAAGAAACUGAGAGAGAGGAGGAAACUGAGAGAGAGGAGGAAACCGAGAGAGAGGAAGAAACCGAGAGAGAGGAGGAAACCGAGAGAGAGGAAGAAAUCGAGAGAGAGGAAGUAACCGAUAGAGAGGAAGAAACCGAGAGAGAGGAAGAAACCGAGAGAGAGGAGAAAACCGAGAGAGGAGAAAACCGAGAGAGAGGAAGAAUUCGAGAGAGAGGAAGAAACCGAGAGAGAGGAGGAAACCGAGAGAGAGGAGGAAACCGAGAGAGGAGGUAACCGAGAGAGAGGAGGAAACCGAGAGAGGAAGUAACCGAGAGAGAUGAAGAAACCGAGAGAGAGGAGAAAACCAAGAGAGGAGGAAACCAAGAGAGAGGAGGAAACCGAGAGAGAGGAGGAAACCGAGAGAGGAGGCAACCGAGAGAGAAGAAACUGAGAGAGGAGGAAAUCGAGAGAGAAGAAACUGAGAGAGAGGAGAAAACCAAGAGAGGAGGAAACCAAGAGAGAGGAGGAAACCGAGAGAGAGGAGGAAACCGAGAGAGGAGGCAACCGAGAGAGAAGAAACUGAGAGAGGAGGAAAUCGAGAGAGAAGAAACUGAGAGAGAGGAGAAAACCAAGAGAGGAGGAAACCGAGAGAGAGGAGAAAACCAAGAGAGGAGGAAACUGAGAGAGAGGAAGAAACCGAGAGAGAGGAAGAAACCGAGAGAGAGGAAGAAACCGAGAGAGAGGAAGAAACCGAGAGAGAGGCGGAAACCGAGAGAGGAGGUAACCGAGAGAGAUGAAGAAACCGAGAGAGAGGAGGAAACCGAGAGAGAGGAAGAAACCGAGAGAGAGGAAGAAACCGAGAGAGAGGAAGAAACCGAGAGAGAGGAGGAAACCGAGAGAG
ensembl:lncRNA